AGUUGUAAUCUAUAGAGGCGUUUUCUGUGCUGGACCGUGUCCAAGUUCCUUGGAACAGGAUAUCAAAGAGGGUGACAAUCCCGUAUUUGACACGACGACCAGUGCUCUGUGAUACGCUCUCGACGAGUCGAGUUGUUUGGGAAUGCAGCUCUAAAUGGGUGGUAAAUUCCAUCUAAAGCUAAAUAUUGGCGAGAGACCGAUAGCGAACAAGUACCGUGAGGGAAAGAUGAAAAGCACUUUGAAAAGAGAGUGAAACAGUAUGUGAAAUUGUUGAAAGGGAAACGAUUGAAGUCAGUCGUGUCUUGAGGGGUUCACUUGUUUUCUAGCAAGGUAUUCCCUUCUUGAUGGGUCAACAUCAGUUAAAUCCGGUGGAUAAGAGCGGGAAGAACGUAGCUCCCUCGGGAGUGUUAUAGCUUUCUGUUGCAUACA
rnacentral:rRNA from 1 species